UACAGAGGGGGCAAGCGUUGUCCGGAAUUACUGGGCGUACAGCGCGCGCAGGCGGAUGCCGACGUGCCGUGUGACAAGCGGGGGGCUCAACCCCCCGAGGGCCACGGUAAACGGGGCGACUGGAGGGAGGGAGAGGGAUGUGGAAUGCCCGGUGGAGCGGUGAAAUGCGUAGAGAUCGGGCGGAACACCAGCGGCGAAGGCAGCUCGCUGGGACGUUACUGACGCUGAGACGCGAAAAGCGUGGGGGAGCAAACAGG
rnacentral:rRNA from 1 species